CCUAGCUUGCUAGGAGGCGUCGAGCGGCGGACGGGUGAGUAAUGCAUAGGAAUCUACCCAGUCGUGGGGGAUAACCUGAGGAAACUCAGGCUAAUACCGCAUACGUCCUACGGGAGAAAGCGGGGGCUCUUCGGACCUCGCGCGAUUGGAUGAGCCUAUGUCGGAUUAGCUAGUUGGUAAGGUAACGGCUUACCAAGGCGACGAUCCGUAGCUGGUCUGAGAGGAUGAUCAGCCACACCGGGACUGAGACACGGCCCGGACUCCUACGGGAGGCAGCAGUGGGGAAUAUUGGACAAUGGGCGAAAGCCUGAUCCAGCCAUGCCGCGUGUGUGAAGAAGGCUUUCGGGUUGUAAAGCACUUUCAGCGGGGAAGAAGGCUUGUCGGUCAAUACCCGGCAAGAGCGACAUCACCCGCAGAAGAAGCACCGGCUAACUCCGUGCCAGCAGCCGCGGUAAUACGGAGGGUGCAAGCGUUAAUCGGAAUUACUGGGCGUAAAGCGCGCGUAGGCGGCGUGUCACGCCGGGUGUGAAAGCCCCGGGCUCAACCUGGGAACGGCAUCCGGAACGGGCAGGCUAGAGUGCAGGAGAGGAAGGUAGAAUUCCCGGUGUAGCGGUGAAAUGCGUAGAGAUCGGGAGGAAUACCAGUGGCGAAGGCGGCCUUCUGGACUGACACUGACGCUGAGGUGCGAAAGCGUGGGUAGCAAACAGGAUUAGAUACCCUGGUAGUCCACGCCGUAAACGAUGUCGACUAGCCGUUGGGUCCCUUGAGGACUUAGUGGCGCAGUUAACGCGAUAAGUCGACCGCCUGGGGAGUACGGCCGCAAGGUUAAAACUCAAAUGAAUUGACGGGGCCCGCACAAGCGGUGGAGCAUGUGGUUUAAUUCGAUGCAACGCGAAGAACCUUACCUACCCU
rnacentral:rRNA from 1 species